rnacentral:rRNA from 1 species
GAUGAGCGCUGGCGGCGUGCCUAAUACAUGCAAGUCGAGCGAACAGGCGAGGAGCUUGCUCCUCUGACGUUAGCGGCGGACGGGUGAGUAACACGUGGAUAACCUACCUAUAAGACUGGGAUAACUUCGGGAAACCGGAGCUAAUACCGGAUAAUAUAUUGAACCGCAUGGUUCAAUAGUGAAAGACGGUUUUGCUGUCACUUAUAGAUGGAUCCGCGCCGCAUUAGCUAGUUGGUAAGGUAACGGCUUACCAAGGCAACGAUGCGUAGCCGACCUGAGAGGGUGAUCGGCCACACUGGAACUGAGACACGGUCCAGACUCCUACGGGAGGCAGCAGUAGGGAAUCUUCCGCAAUGGGCGAAAGCCUGACGGAGCAACGCCGCGUGAGUGAUGAAGGUCUUCGGAUCGUAAAACUCUGUUAUUAGGGAAGAACAAAUGUGUAAGUAACUAUGCACGUCUUGACGGUACCUAAUCAGAAAGCCACGGCUAACUACGUG